UUAAUUAAAUCCAAAAUAGAGGAGUAUUAUUGUUAAUAAUAAAAUUGAAUAAAUUUAUUCUAAUUAAA
rnacentral:tRNA from 1 species